rnacentral:rRNA from 1 species
AUUGAACGCUGGCGGCAGGCUUAACACAUGCAAGUCGAGCGGAGAUGAGGUGCUUGCACCUUAUCUUAGCGGCGGACGGGUGAGUAAUGCUUAGGAAUCUGCCUAUUAGUGGGGGACAACAUUCCGAAAGGAAUGCUAAUACCGCAUACGCCCUACGGGGGAAAGCAGGGGAUCUUCGGACCUUGCGCUAAUAGAGGAGCCUAAGUCGGAUUAGCUAGUUGGUGGGGUAAAGGCCUACCAAGGCGACGAUCUGUAGCGGGUCGGAGAGGAUGAUCCGCCACACUGGGACUGAGACACGGCCCAGACUCCUACGGGAGGCAGCAGUGGGGAAUAUUGGACAAUGGGCGGAAGCCUGAUCCAGCCAUGCCGCGUGUGUGAAGAAGGCCUUUUGGUUGUAAAGCACUUUAAGCGAGGAGGAGGCUACCUGGAUUAAUACUCUAGGAUAGUGGACGUUACUCGCAGAAUAAGCACCGGCUAACUCUGUGCCAGCCGCCGCGGUAAUAC